rnacentral:rRNA from 1 species
CGGUCAAGUCGUUAAGGGCAUGAGGUGGAUGCCUCGGCUCCGGAAGACGAUGAAGGGCGUGGUAAGCUGCGAUAAGCGUCGGUGAGGUGCAAACAACCGUAGACCCGGCGAUCCCCGAAUGGGAAAACCUGGCGGGAGUCAUGUCCCGUCAUCCCCACCUGAACACAUAGGGUGGGUGAAGGCAACCGGGGGAACUGAAACAUCUAAGUACCCCGAGGAAAAGAAAGCAACCGCGAUUCCCCCAGUAGCGGCGAGCGAACAGGGAACAGCCCAAACCGGUGGCGUGUAAGCGUACGGGCGUUGCGUCACCGGGGUUGUGGGGUUCUUCCAGGCUGAACCGUACCAGGCCAGGGAGUAAAAAAACUCGUUUAUAGCCGAACUGUGCUGGAAAGACAGGCCGCAGAAGGUGAUAGCCCCGUAGGCGAAAUGAACGAGUCUCCCGGAAGAAUUCCCGAGUACCACGGGGCACGUGGAACCCAGUGGGAAUCCGGGUGGACCAUCACCCAAGGCUAAAUACUCUCCGGAGACCGAUAGCGUACCAGUACCGUGAGGGAAAGGUGAAAAGCACCCCGGGAGGGGAGUGAAAUAGAACCUGAAACCUCGUGCCUACAAGCAGUGGGAGCCUCUCUUCGGAGGGGUGACCGCGUACCUUUUGCAUAAUGGGCCAGCGAGUUGCUCGUCUGUGGCAAGGUUAAGGGCUUCAGGUCCCGAGCCGCAGCGAAAGCGAGUCUGAACAGGGCGUUCAGUCACGGGCGGCAGACGCGAAACCGGGUGAUCUAUCCAUGGCCAGGUUGAAGCGCAGGUAAAACUGCGUGGAGGACCGAACCAUUGCACGUUGAAAAGUGCUUGGAUGAGCUGUGGAUAGGGGUGAAA